rnacentral:lncRNA from 1 species
GUGGAAAAUAAAUAGAAAAGUUCACUCGAUGCAAAAAAUAAACAGGCCAAUCUACGUAAUUUUCAGAAAGCUGAUCAAUUUCUAAGGUGAAAUCAGUAAGCAAGCAUAGACUUAUUUAGGAAUCGGACACAGUGGGAGACUUCCAUUGUAUGGGCACCAGGAAACAAAAACUAAAGCACUGACACAGUUUACUGAAAAA